AUUGAACGCUGGCGGCAGGCCUAACACAUGCAAGUCGAAUGGUAACAGGAAACAGCUUGCUGUUUCGCUGACGAGUGGCGGACGGGUGAGUAAUGUCUGGGAAACUGCCUGAUGGAGGGGGAUAACUACUGGAAACGGUAGCUAAUACCGCAUAACGUCGCAAGACCAAAGAGGGGGACCUUCGGGCCUCUUGCCAUCAGAUGUGCCCAGAUGGGAUUAGCUAGUAGGUGGGGUAACGGCUCACAUAGGCGGCGGUCCCUAGCUGGUCUGAGAGGAUGACCAGCCACACUGGAGCUGAGCGGCGGUCCAGGCUCCUACGGGAGGCAGCAGUGGGGAAUAUUGCACAAUGGGCGCAAGCCUGAUGCAGCCAUGCCGCGUGUAUGAAGAAGGCCUUCGGGUUGUAAAGUACUUUCAGCGGGGAGGAAGGGAGUAAAGUUAAUACCUUUGCUCAUUGACGUUACCCGCAGAAGAAGCACCGGCUAACUCCGU
rnacentral:rRNA from 1 species